GCCCCCAUCGUCUAGAGGCCAAGGACAUUUCCCUUUCACGGAGGCAACGGGGAUUCGAAUUCCCCUGGGGGUA
rnacentral:tRNA from 1 species